UACGAAGGGGGCUAGCGUUGCUCGGAAUGACUGGGCGUAAAGGGCGCGUAGGCGGAUUGCACAGUCGGGCGUGAAAUUCCUGGGCUUAACCUGGGGGCUGCGUUCGAGACGUGAGGUCUGGAGUGCGGAAGAGGGUCGUGGAAUUCCCAGUGUAGAGGUGAAAUUCGUAGAUAUUCGGAAGAACACCAGUGGCGAAGGCGACACACUGGGCCAUUACUGACGCUGAGGCGCGAAAGCGUGGGGAGCAAACAGG
rnacentral:rRNA from 1 species